AGAGUUUGAUCAUGGCUCAGGAUGAACGCUAGCGGCAGGCCUAACACAUGCAAGUCGAGGGGUAGAAGCUUUCGGGCUUUGAGACCGGCGCACGGGUGCGUAACGCGUAUGCAAUCUGCCUUACACUAAGGGAUAGCCCAGAGAAAUUUGGAUUAAUACCUUAUAGUAUAUUUUUGUGGCAUCACAAGAUUAUUAAAGAUUUAUCGGUGUAAGAUGAGCAUGCGUCCCAUUAGCUAGUUGGUAUGGUAACGGCAUACCAAGGCUAUGAUGGGUAGGGGUCCUGAGAGGGAGAUCCCCCGCACUGGUACUGAGACACGGACCAGACUCCUACGGGAGGCAGCAGUGAGGAAUAUUGGUCAAUGGGCGCAAGCCUGAACCAGCCAUGCCGCGUGCAGGAUGAAGCAUCUAUGGUGUGUAAACUGCUUUUGUACGGGAAGAAACAACUCUUCGUGAAGAGUCUUGACGGUACCGUAAGAAUAAGGAUCGGCUAACUCCGUGCCAGCCGCCGCGGUAAUAC
rnacentral:rRNA from 1 species